ACUCCUGCGGGAGGCAGCAGUGGGGAAUUUUGGACAAUGGGGGCAACCCUGAUCCAGCAAUGCCGCGUGAGUGAAGAAGGCCUUCGGGUUGUAAAGCUCUUUUGUCAGGGAAGAAACGGUGGUGGCGAAUAACUACUACUAAUGACGGUACCUGAAGAAUAAGCACCGGCUAACUACGUGCCAGCAGCCGCGGUAAUACGUAGGGUGCAAGCGUUAAUCGGAAUUACUGGGCGUAAAGCGUGCGCAGGCGGUUGUGUAAGUCAGAUGUGAAAUCCCCGGGCUCAACCUGGGAAUUGCAUUUGAGACUGCACGGCUAGAGUGUGUCAGAGGGGGGUAGAAUUCCACGUGUAGCAGUGAAAUGCGUAGAUAUGUGGAGGAAUACCGAUGGCGAAGGCAGCCCCCUGGGAUAACACUGACGCUCAUGCACGAAAGCGUGGGGAGCAAACAGGAUUAGAUACCCCAGUAGUCCCAUGAU
rnacentral:rRNA from 1 species